rnacentral:rRNA from 1 species
UUUAUCCUGGCUCAGGAUGAACGCUGGCGGCGUGCUUAACACAUGCAAGUCGAACGAUGAAGCCCAGCUUGCUGGGUGGAUUAGUGGCGAACGGGUGAGUAACACGUGAGUAACCUGCCCUUAACUCUGGGAUAAGCCUGGGAAACUGGGUCUAAUACCGGAUAGGAGCGUCCACCGCAUGGUGGGUGUUGGAAAGAUUUAUCGGUUUUGGAUGGACUCGCGGCCUAUCAGCUUGUUGGUGAGGUAAUGGCUCACCAAGGCGACGACGGGUAGCCGGCCUGAGAGGGUGACCGGCCACACUGGGACUGAGACACGGCCCAGACUCCUACGGGAGGCAGCAGUGGGGAAUAUUGCACAAUGGGCGNAAGCCUGAUGCAGCGACGCCGCGUGAGGGAUGACGGCCUUCGGGUUGUAAACCUCUUUCAGUAGGGAAGAAGCGAAAGUGACGGUACCUGCAGAAGAAGCACCGGCUAACUACGUC